AGCUAUAUCAUAUUGAAACACCAGUUUUCGUCUGAUCACCGAAGGUAAGCAACUUUGAGCCUGAUCAUUACCUAGAUAGGUGAGCACUUUGGAAUACCAGAUGCUGAAA